UGCUUAACACAUGCAAGUCGAACGGAAAGGCCCUGCUUUUGUGGGGUGCUCGAGUGGCGAACGGGUGAGUAACACGUGAGUAACCUGCCCUUGACUUUGGGAUAACUUCAGGAAACUGGGGCUAAUACCGGAUAGGAGCUCCUGCUGCAUGGUGGGGGUUGGAAAGUUUCGGCGGUUGGGGAUGGACUCGCGGCUUAUCAGCUUGUUGGUGGGGUAGUGGCUUACCAAGGCUUUGACGGGUAGCCGGCCUGAGAGGGUGACCGGCCACAUUGGGACUGAGAUACGGCCCAGACUCCUACGGGAGGCAGCAGUGGGGAAUAUUGCACAAUGGGCGGAAGCCUGAUGCAGCAACGCCGCGUGCGGGAUGACGGCCUUCGGGUUGUAAACCGCUUUCGCCUGUGACGAAGCGUGAGUGACGGUAAUGGGUAAAGAAGCACCGGCUAACUACGUGCCAGCAGCCGCGGUGAUACGUAGGGUGCGAGCGUUGUCCGGAUUUAUUGGGCGUAAAGGGCUCGUAGGUGGUUGAUCGCGUCGGAAGUGUAAUCUUGGGGCUUAACCCUGAGCGUGCUUUCGAUACGGGUUGACUUGAGGAAGGUAGGGGAGAAUGGAAUUCCUGGUGGAGCGGUGGAAUGCGCAGAUAUCAGGAGGAACACCAGUGGCGAAGGCGGUUCUCUGGGCCUUUCCUGACGCUGAGGAGCGAAAGCGUGGGGAGCGAACAGGCUUAGAUACCCUGGUAGUCCACGCUGUAAACGGUGGGUACUAGGUGUGGGGUCCAUUCCACGGGUUCCGUGCCGUAGCUAACGCUUUAAGUACCCCGCCUGGGGAGUACGGCCGCAAGGCUAAAACUCAAAGGAAUUGACGGGGCCCCGCACAAGCGGCGGAGCAUGCGGAUUAAUUCGAUGCAACGCGUAGAACCUUACCUGGGUUUGACAUGGAUCGGGAGUGCUCAGAGAUGGGUGUGCCUCUUUUGGGGUCGGUUCACAGGUGGUGCAUGGCUGUCGUCAGCUCGUGUCGUGAGAUGUUGGGUUAAGUCCCGCAACGAGCGCAACCCUUGUUCACUGUUGCCAGCACGUUAUGGUGGGGACUCAGUGGAGACCGCCGGGGUCAACUCGGAGGAAGGUGGGGAUGACGUCAAGUCAUCAUGCCCCUUAUGUCCAGGGCUUCACGCAUGCUACAAUGGCUGGUACAGAGAGUGGCGAGCCUGUGAGGGUGAGCGAAUCUCGGAAAGCCGGUCUCAGUUCGGAUUGGGGUCUGCAACUCGACCUCAUGAAGUCGGAGUCGCUAGUAAUCGCAGAUCAGCAACGCUGCGGUGAAUACGUUCCCGGGGCUUGUACACACCGCCCGUCAAGUCAUGAAAGUUGGUAACACCCGAAGCCGGUGGCCUAACCGUUGUGGGGGAGCCGUCGAAGGUGGGACUGGUGAUUAGGACUAAGUCAUAA
rnacentral:rRNA from 1 species